CAACAGACUACCAUUCAGCUUCACAUCUUCUUCCCGUAUCUCCGAUUGCUAAUCAAACAACUCAACUUAACACAAAACAUAUAUGGAACGUACACAAUCAAUAUAUACGCGGGCCAUAUUCGAAUACAGAUAUAUAGUUUCCAACCCGCAUGAUUCAUUACUCGCAAUCAAACUCUGCUAAAUCAAUUGAAAUCGAUAUUGAACUCUCAAACGUUGCUUCUUUUUUUUUUUUCAGCCGCCCCUUUUUCUUUUGCUAGUAUAAAACCAACACCUUUUUUUUCUUCACCUGAGCAGCCAUGGCUGCUGCCGCAGUUGUUUGAAACGCUGCCACACCGUUGCCAAGCUCCAACACCACCGUUGAUUACCAACCUGAUGUCUCUUCCUCAUCCAAGCAACCGCGUUGCCGCGACACCACGACCCAGCCACCCUCUCUGAAACCCCAACUGUCUCUCAGUCCCUACCUCCAUCUCCUUUAUCUCUCUCGAGUCACCAUCCUCUCUCUACGGCAGCCUCGACUCAACCAUUCCCCCUACAAUUCUUCCCACCGAACUCUAAUUCCCUCAAUCCCCAAUUCGUAUGUGCUGAUGUUAUACUCUCUACCCCCUCAAUCCAAUACCGUAAUACUCUAGUUUGUUUGAACCCGACUAAUAAGCAUGUUAAAUGUUUUUUUUAUAGUAUUUAAUCUAAUUUUUAUUUUAUUUAAAUUGUAAUCAAAUAACGUUUGAUUAACCGUCGUCUAACGGAAUUUUAUAAUUGGGAAGAAGUCAAUAAUUCAGUGUUAGUGUUUGGAAGACGAAAAUAUGGAUGGUACCACCUGGAAAAACCAAAUCUACACUGGUACCAUUAGGAAUUUUCCUCCUUUAUUUCAUUCUCAUCGGUCAAUUGAUUUCAAUUAAAUAUACUCCCUCUGUCCCUCUCAUUUGUUUACAGUUACUAUUUUGAGACGUCCCUCUCAUUUCUUUACGUUAUUAUAAAUAGUAAGUUUUUCCCAUCAUUCCACCAACUAUCUGCCCCCACUAUCUCAUAUUUAACAAUAAAAACUACUAUUACACCCACUACUUUCCUCCACUAUCUCAAAUCUAUUAUUAAAUAUUGAUAGGUCCCACCACUUUACCCACUUUUCAUCUAACUUUACUCCUUUUUUAUACAUUAUCUUGGUAUCCGUGUCCCCCUCCAAUGUAAACAAUUGAGGGGGACGGAGGGAGUAAGUUUAAAAAAAUAAUCGAUUCUGUUAACUAUUACUCCCUCUGUCCCAUUUGAUUCUAUACGUUUCUUUGUUAACUGCUCGACACGCAUUUCAAUGCUC
rnacentral:lncRNA from 1 species